CCCGCCCUAGCUCAAUUGGUAGAGCGCCCGGCUGUAGACCGGGAGGUUCAGGGUUCGAGUCCCUGGGGCGGGA
rnacentral:tRNA from 1 species